CGGGCCGUGGCGCAGUCUGGUAGCGCAAUCCACCCAUGGUGGAGAGGUCGGAGGUUCGAAUCCUCUCAGCCCGACCA
rnacentral:tRNA from 1 species